UACGUAGGGUGCGAGCGUUGUCCGGAAUUAUUGGGCGUAAAGGGCUCGUAGGCGGUUUGUCGCGUCGGAGUGAAAACCAUGAGCUUAACUCAUGGCUUGCUUUCGAUACGGGCAGACUAGAGGUAUGCAGGGGAGAACGGAAUUCCUGGUGUAGCGGUGAAAUGCGCAGAUAUCAGGAGGAACACCGGUGCGAAGGCGGUCUCUGGGCAUUACCUGACGCUGAGGAGCGAAAGUGUGGGGAGCGAACAGG
rnacentral:rRNA from 1 species